UAUCUCUCGACAAUGACAGCUUACGUAAGAUUAUUUGUUUCAUUUUUCGUUCGCUUUCCUGUAGGUUGUAGGAAUUUAUUUCUUGUUAUCAUAUAUAUUUAUAUAAAUUUUUUGUCAACGAAAGAGUAAAGAGCAUUCUUAUGUUUUCUUACUUAAAUAUUACUAUACUUUAAGAGAUUUUACAUUUUUUUAUUAUGUUUUGUGUAAAAUAUAAAAACAUAUUUUACAUAUUUAAUAAAGUAAUAAUGUAAUUACUAAUUUAAUAUUAAUGUUGAUAUUUUUUAUAUUAUAUGAAUAAACUUCAGUGUAAUACUCAUGAAUGAAAUUGUACAAUAUGAAAGCUGCUAAAAGAAGUAAAAAAUUGUUUUAUUGGAUAUAUAAAAAUGUUAAUAUUCACAGAUAUAAAUAUCUUGUUUAGACGAAAAGAAUUAGUAUUGUAUGAUGAGAUGUAUGUAUUAAUCAAAUAUAUUUUUUUGUAUUUUAUAAGACACGCAGUGUCUUACAAAAUUUUGUGUAACAAGUAUAUUAUACUGUUUGUAAUAGUUAAAAAAUGGAAAAUGUUAUUUUCGUUUUAUAUGGCAUUUAUUUGACAUAAUUAUCUUUCUGGUAACUAAUAUAUCUUCAUAUAUUUCCUUAGCUUUUCUCAUUGUUAGUAUAUUGACUAAUCAUAGGGGGUCUGAUAACGUAAAUACCAUUGAUAAACAUUACACGCGUUAUUAAGUAGUACCAGACUUUUCUGACGCAAAUGUGGAUAUUUAAUCGGAAUCAAAUAAGAAUACCUGGAAAACAACGCGUAAGAGACAUCGCAUUUGAUUUCUGCGUAUAGUGGAAUAUUUUAAAGAUUUUAUCACAAGCACCUUCUAUUCGUGACAUUGUAUCUUGAGAUGUAAACAAAAUAAAUAAUAUGGAAAAUAUUAUUUAAUAUAAUUUUCUCGAUGUAUUUUACGCAGAUAUAUUUUAUACAUGUAUAUGAGCGUGCAGAUAUAUAUCUAUAUACAUAAAACACUUCAAUAUUUUUUAUUUAAUAUUUUGUAGGUAGUUGCAUAAUUAUUUAUUAAAAAUCUUUAUGAGCAUCGCUUUGUAGGUUUCUACCUUAACAAUUAAUUAUGUUUAUUCCAUUUAUAUUGUUCGCAUCAAUAAUGUCGUGCGACUUUUUUUAUUUUCGCGACUCUGUCGACCAUAUCGCGCAAAUUAAUUCCUUUUCAUAAAUUCAACGCGAAGGAGCGUUUCAUAUUCAACGCCAUAACUCGAAACGUGUUCCUCUGUACGUGUGUAAUCUCGAAUCUCAGACUCAUCAUUUUCAGCCGCGUCAGCUUAUGGUACGUGAGACCGUAAGAAUUAGCUAAGUGAGUAGCUACGGUAGUAGCUCUCCGGCUUUUACGGAUGCAGAACCAGUAGUGGAGGGUGUAGUGAACGAGUCAUAUGAAAUUAACAAACAGCUUAUCCUAUCAUCAGGGAACAAGAUAAAAGGUUUAUAAAGUACGGAAGUAAUAGUAUUAUUAAUAAGGCAAUAUACAUUCUAUCAGGAUCAUGUUCGUUAAUAAUACAAUGCGUAAUAAAAUUGAAACAAUAUA